rnacentral:rRNA from 2 species
GGGCGCAGCCUGAUGGAGCACACCGCGUGAGUGAAGAAGGGUUUCGGCUCGUAAAGCUCUGUUGUUGGAGAAGAACGUGCGUGAGAGUAACUGUUCACGCAGUGACGGUAUCCAACCAGAAAGUCACGGCUAACUACGUGCCAGCAGCCGCGGUAAUACGUAGGUGGCAAGCGUUAUCCGGAUUUAUUGGGCGUAAAGCGAGCGCAGGCGGUUGCUUAGGUCUGAUGUGAAAGCCUUCGGCUUAACCGAAGAAGUGCAUCGGAAACCGGGCGACUUGAGUGCAGAAGAGGACAGUGGAACUCCAUGUGUAGCGGUGGAAUGCGUAGAUAUAUGGAAGAACACCAGUGGCGAAGGCGGCUGUCUGGUCUGCAACUGACGCUGAAGCUCGAAAGCAUGGGUAGCGAACAGGAUUAGAUACCCUGGGAGUCCAUGGCGUAAACGAUGAGUGCUAGGUGGUGGAAGGGUUUCCGCCCUCAAGGGCGGAACUUAAGGCAUUAAGCCAUCCCGCUGGGGAAUAC